rnacentral:miRNA from 1 species
CCUCAUCAACCGGAAGGAAUCCCUUCCGGUUGAUGAGGUGUAACAGCCCCAUCGACCGGAAGGGAUUCCUUCCGGUCAAUGGUGCUGUUGUAUCUCAUCGGCCGGAAGGAUAUCCUUCCGAUCGAUGAGG